GUCAGCGCUUGUGUGUGUACAUUAGGAGCUCGUGUUCAUGCCAAUACAUGCUAACCGCAGAUUGUAGAUUCGUGUUCACAAAGACAAAAGGAAUAUAACGUACCAAUUAAAUUACAACAAAAUGGGUGUACGUCCACAAAUAAAGCAAAAUAAAGAAUAGCUAUAAAUAGAAUUUAAUAGUACCACUGCUAUCGGUGACGUCCAAUGUUCCACGGUCCACAAUGGCCACAGAUCACCAAAAUCACUUCACGACGUCACGUGUAACAUUCGAAUUUCAAAACCAUGUGACGUUAGUGCGGUGAAAGAACGAACAAGAAACAUCGAAACAACUCGUCCUCAAAGGAGAAGAUGAAAGAAAAACAAUAAACUGUUUCAAUAACGCAAAACAACAAAGUUUGUUUAGAGAAGUUUGCGAAGGGGUGAAACGUCGGGAAAUGGGGGGAUACCUCACACCUCUGGGUGGCUACAACUUAAGCAUUAUUGAUACAAUGUUGUGUUUAACAUUCACUCAACGAGAUGAAAGUAAUGACUGUGUAAUACGAUAACAUCUGACUUAAAGAUAUAAUUAGCAAUCGAAUGUUUAAUCGACAUUUGGAGCAAUCAAUGAAAUUAAAUCAUUCCAAUGGAAUAAGGAAUUGAUUAAUAUAAUCGUAACAUAAUUUAUUAUCCUUAACAUGAUUCCAUUUAUUUAUACUAGUGAAAAAAAAAUUAAGAAAGGAUAGUCGAUCAGAAAUGAUGUACUCGUAUUGUAAUGAAUUUAUUCUGCAUAGCUUAAAUAUUAUUUUCCUUUUGAUACACAAUUAAUGAAAUCAAAGACUUAUCAACUAUGUAAACUUCAUUUUCAGGUGUACUGAAGUUUUAAAACUGAUCGCGUGUAUAAAUAUUAAAAAUAUUAUAAUAAAUACAGUGAAACAAA